GCGCCGGCUUCCGGGAAGGAGAGCGGAGCAUUUGCCUGUUAGGGUUGAUUGACCGCGUCCCAAAUUUACGAGUCCGAAGCAGAGUGGAGUUGUUUUUCACGUUUGUUUAACAUUUUAGAGAUUACAGUGCGCUUUUACAAACGCUAGAUCCUUACAAAAACCCUAUGAGAAAAAAGUUAAUAGCCAGAGGAACUGGCAUCAAGUACUGACUACCAACAACACUCGUUCUCCAUUUCACAGCUCCAGUUCCCUUUCCUCUGGAUAGGAAGAUAUAAGCAAAUCACCCUAUGUUUGGGACAGAAUCACCAAGUACACUGUGAGGCUUUGUUGAUAUGUUGAUACUGCCAGUCACAGCUUCCAAUCAACCAAAGUUCAUCAAUGUAACUGCCCUGAAAUGAAAAAAUUCUAAGCAAGGUCAAAAAAACAGGAAGUUUCAGCUACCCUUUGCUAGCAUCUUCCAUCACUGGAUUUCCAAUGCUCAUCUCUAGCCACCUGCCGUGUCCUCCCUCAUUCCCAGCCUACAAUGGAUUUCUAGGAAAUCAGGAAAACUGAAACCAGGAAUCUCUUGGGUGACACUGAAGGUACAGCACUGGUUAAAGUUAAGAAAUGACAACAUAACUUUAAGGGACUAAUUAAUUUAACAGAAGUUUCAGUGUAUUUAUUGAGAGUCAAUUUCUUUAGCCAAUGAUGUUGAAAACCCAAGAAAGGAUACAUCAGCAUCCACGUAAGAUUGCAACAACCGGAUUUCUCCUUGUGAGUGACAUUCAUAUAAGGUAACCUAAUGAAAACAAAAACACAGUCAAUUUUAUCUCAAAUAUAGGAGCACAUUCUUCAGCUUUUGAAUGUAUUUUAGCCAUAACUUUAUCUCAAAGAUGUUACAGAAGCUACUGCUUUAAAAUAGCUCCAUUAGAUCUGGCAUUGCUGCAGCUGUGGCUUGGAUUCAGUCCCUGGCCUAGGAACUUCCAUAUGUCACAGGUGCAGCCGUAAAUGAAAAAUUUUAAAAAUGAAAAUAAAAAAUAAAAUAGCUCCUUUAAACUUAAGGAAGCUAUAUAAAGCCUAAUGUAUUACAUAUUUUCCAAAGUAUACUAAAUAUUUUAGUAGUAAUGGUUUCUAUUUCCACUGUUAAAAUUGUAUCUCUCAUCCAUAUAAUUGCAUCAACUCUUCAAAGUAAAUAAAGGUGAAUACCUCGCAGUAAAGUGUAACUACUUACUA